GACGAACGCUGGCGGCGUGCUUAACACAUGCAAGUCGAACGCUGAAGCUCAGCUUUUGUUGGGUGGAUGAGUGGCGAACGGGUGAGUAACACGUGAGUAACCUGCCUCCUUCUUUGGGAUAACGCCCGGAAACGGGUGCUAAUACUGGAUAUUCACUGGUCUUCGCAUGGGGGUUGGUGGAAAGGGUUUUUCUGGUGGGGGAUGGGCUCGCGGCCUAUCAGCUUGUUGGUGGGGUGAUGGCCUACCAAGGCUUUGACGGGUAGCCGGCCUGAGAGGGUGACCGGUCACAUUGGGACUGAGAUACGGCCCAGGCUCCUACGGGGGGCAGCAGUGGGGAAUAUUGCACAAUGGGCGCAAGCCUGAUGCAGCGACGCCGCGUGAGGGAUGGAGGCCUUCGGGUUGUGAACCUCUUUCGCUCAUGGUCAAGCCGCAACAAUGGUUGUGGUGAGGGUAGUGGGUAAAGAAGCGCCGGCUAACUACGUG
rnacentral:rRNA from 1 species